CGUGAAGGUUUGAGGACACUAGGACUGUUUGAGCAGGUUCAGAUGUGUACAGAGGCUUUCCAUUCAGUCUUUUGUGGGCCUGUGGAAAGGCUCACAGCUGAAUCAGUCAUGGAGCUCUUUACAGUCCAGUUUUCAGAAGAAAAAGAGAACACAACAUUAAACUUUUGGAAAAAGUAUCUGCAUGAGUGUGACGAGGGUCGGUGUGCAGCAUCACUCACGGACCUCCUAACAUUUGCCACUGCUACAGAUUUGGUUCCAUCCAUUGGAUUCCAUCCCACUCCCUCUAUUUCAUUCUUCAGCUCAUCAGACACCUCAUGUGCCUUUCCUCAGAGCCACUGUGAUGCCAAUCAUCUCAUUCUGCCAAUACUACCCUCCUAUGAGCUCUUCAAGAAACACUUGGAUUACACAGUGUGUCAGUUCUCAGUUAUGCAGGACAUUUAAAAAAAAA